ensembl:snoRNA
GGGGUGUGCUCAGAGCAAGAGGCCUGAAGAAAUGGCUUCUCUGUUUACAACACACCCAACAGAAACCUGGGUUCAUUGUGACAAGGAACACACAACUCAUGGCCUUUCUAUAAACAAAUACCCAACAUGU